rnacentral:lncRNA from 1 species
GGCAUUGUUUUCUGAUGUAGGACCUGGGAGGCGGUGGCCUUAGGGCACUGCAGGGCAGGCCACUGCAGCUGAGGAUGCCCGAAGCUCCAAGGUCAAGAUGUGGACGGUACCUCCACUAUCACCAUGGAUGGCACCUCCGGGUGGAUGCCAGCAGCCGGUCAUUUGCAGGAAUAGGGUAGAACGUAGAUGAAGAAAUGGGAAAUACACCAGUGAUCCAGAGGUUAAAACUGUCAGUGAAAGAAGGAAGCGACCGGGAGAACCAUUCCGGCAGCAGUGAAGAGGCGGUAGGACAGAUUUCAAUCGUUUCCGUCUCACGGGAGCAGGGGUUUUGAAACGUGGAGAUGAAGCGACGGUCUGCAGGCAGCACAGAGGCAAGGGGGACCCCGGUCUCUGGUCCCGACCCUCAGGUAUACUGUCUGUGAAGGAGAAAUAAUCCUCUGUCUUAGUCUGUUUGUGCUGCUAAAACACAAUACCACAGACUGGGCAGCCUGUAAACUAUAUAUAUAUAUAUUUUUCUUUUUUCUUUUAAUUUUUAAAAAUUAAAGUAUUGUGGAUUUAUAAUGUUCUGUCAAUUUCUACUGUAUGGCAAAAUGACCUAGUCCUAUAUACAUGUAUGUAUGUAUAUACAUGCUUUUCUCAUGUUAUCUUCCAUCCUGUUCUAUCACAAGUGAUUGGAUAGAAUUCCCUGGGCUGUACAGCAGGACCUCAUUGCUUAUCCAUUCUGUAAGUAAUAGUUUGCAGCUACGAACCCCAAACGGUUCUGAAUGAUGGGGGUCUAAGAUCAGGGUUGGGGGAGGUCCCAUGUCUUACUGUGACCCCACAUGGUGGAGGGGACAGCUAGGCCUCUGCCACCUCUCUUAUAAAGACUCCAACACUGUUCAAGUGGUGCUAGGACCUCAUCACCUCCCACAGGUCCCCCCCUCCCAAUCCUAUCACCUUGAAUAUUAGGUUUUCAACAUAUGAAUUUGGGGUGGAUACAAACAUUCAGACCAGAGCAUCAUCCAUUUGAGAAGUAAGUUCUCAGCGGAACAAUGAGAUUUCAGACUAAAGAACCCAGAGGUUGACAUAUUACUUUAAGAAGAAGCACCAAGGUGGACAGGAAUGUGGCAUCUUGGAUGGACACCUUGGAACAGAAAAAGGAUAAAAGGUAAAAAGUGAGGAAACCUUUAGAAUGCAUGUUUGGUUCAUAGAAUUUUAACGAAUUUAAAGUUUAACAAAUGUACAUAGGAAGGUAAGCUGUUAAUAAGAGAGGAACUGGAUUAGGAUACACAGGAGGUCUCUGUACCAUCUGUGCAAUUUAUGUGACAUUGAAAUUUUUCUGUAAAUCUAAACGCAUUUUAAAAUUACACAUUUAAUCGAAUAUAAGUCUCAGGGGAAAAAUACUAAGUUUUAUUUUAGUGCACGCAAAGAGUAACAUACAGACAAAACUCAACACAUGGAGUUCCAUGGAGUCAGGGGCACUGCUACGUAAAAAAGACAUUUCAAACCUCGUUAGUUCUGCCCACGAGGCCUCAUCUCUUUUCCUCUCACUGCCGUUUCUGUGAAGGACAUGGUGUCUGAAGGUGGCUCUGGGAAGGGAGGAUGGGUGGAAAUUCUUGGCAUGAAAGAUCAAAGACUUUUUCAAAAGUCCAGUCAACUCUCAUGUUGCUGAUAGAAAUACACGAUCUGCCCCCCUUUACACACACACACACACACACGUGUUCUACUUCUAUGGAGGUUAUUUGGGCAUAUAUAUAUGUAUAAUAUAUGUAUAUUACAAAUGCAUAUAACUUCUGAUCACAUAAUUCAGUUCUGAGAACAAUUGGCCGAGACUAGUACCUUCACGAGAAAUAUCUGUGCGGUGUUACCGCUACAGCGUUAUUUGUAACAGCAAAAUAUUUUAAACAGCCUAAGUGCUCAUCAACAAAGAACUAGUUAAAUAACCUGAACAUGUGAUGGAAUGCACCAUGAACUGUAAAAAGGCAGUGUUCACUGUAUGUGAACAUCCACGCGUGUACAUGUGUGUGUAUGUACGUGACUGCAUCAACCAAGUCCCUAUAAACCGGUAAAUGAGCCAGUUCCCUGCAAGAGUAAGAAGAGACAAACACAGAAUUGUGUGAAAAAAGCCAUUAAAAUUCUUACAUCUUAAAAGAAAAUGCAUGCAUUUCGUUUCAAGAUACAGGAGGUGGCGUGAAAAAUUCUCCUUUGAGCAAUAUUUCCAUUUGGAGUAGUGGAAAUAAGCAGGGUUAAAAUACUCGGGUUUCCUGAGGCGCCUCCUAAUACUUAUUUUCCACUUUCUCUUCUUCAAGUUGGGAAGGGUGACUCUUGUCCCUUGCUUCCUACCUUGUUAGCUGAGAAAUAUAGCGUCCUCGUCAGCUGUUUGUUAGCAUAACCCUAAGACAACGCUGAGUGAAAAAGCAAUAUGAUGAGUCGGUAGCUUUAAAUUUUUUAUAUGGAUUAAUAAAACGUUGAGAAAAUGUGAAAACAUUAAUUCUAAGCUUGCUUAAAGUCUGCAAAAUAAAUAAGUACAUAAAAAAUAGAAGGUUCAAAGUAGCUUUAAUGAUACUGUCAGAAUUUGCAAUAACCCUGGAGGGACCGUGAUGAAACACAAAUGUCUCCAAUUUCUAUAAAGAGAAAGUAAAAAGGGGAAAACAUGAAAACUAUUAAAACAUGAACCCUUAUGCAUCUUUAGGAGAUACCUCCCCCAAAUGAAACUGCUAUUAGCCAGUUGUAAUGCUGUGCAGGUGGAGCACCGGGUUCACCUUUAUAAUGUCGGACACUGUUUUCCUACUUGUUUUCUCAGAAGGAAUGAACUUUUAAACACCAGUUCUAAAAUCUGAAGUUUGGGGCUAUAAAACUAAACUGGAAUGCCAAAAAGGAAACUGAUACAUUCUAUUGGGGAAGAAUAAAAAGGAAUUUGUCAACCAGAAGAAAUCAUGUCAUGAAAAAUAUGCCUUUGCGAAGGGAAGUAGGGGAGUUUCCAGAGUUAAAAUAGAAAACAGAUUAUGAGGUAUCGGUAUGACUCUUACUACAGUCUCGAGCUGCUUUUAGACGGAAGGGGACAGACCUCUCACAGCCCGUCACCUGCUCCACACCACAACCCACAUGCUGCCCCACGCACACUCACUGCACAUUCUCCGUGCCGUAAAUCCAGACAUCAAAGGCCCCCAAAGGUCCCCAAAGGCCUCCGGUUCCAAAUAAAUACAUCAUGUUAAAUAAAAAUCUCGAUUAAGCUUAGCCCACAGCUAUGUUUAAAACAAACUAUGGGAGUUCCCGUCCUGGCGCAGUGGUUAACGAAUCCGACUAGGAACCAUGAGGUUGCGGGUUCGGUCCCUGCCCCUUGCUCAGUGGGUUAAGGAUCCGGCGUUGCCGUGAGCUGUGGUGUAGGUUGCAGACGCGGCUCGGAUCCCGCGUUGCUGUGGCUCUGGCGUAGGCCGGUGGCUACAGCUCCGAUUCAACCCCUAGCCUGGGAACCUCCAUAUGCCGCGGGAGCAGCCCAAGAAAUAGCAACAACAACAACAACAACAAAAAGACAAAAGACAAAAAAAAACAAACAAAACAAAAAACAAAAAACAAACAAACUAUGUAUGACGCUUUGGCCCAGGACAUUGAUAAAAUGUCAGAUAAAAAAUGGCUAUUUCUGUGGGAGUGGUAUGUAGAUCAUUUUUAGAUUAAACAGUGAGAGCACACACACACACACACACACACACACACACACACACACACACACACACACUUCUGGAAUUCAUGUAAUCAAUCAAUUUAGACUAUUAGCAGCAAAAGGUCAGAUGGUCUGUUUAUGCACUCAGGGCCAAACUUCCUUUUUACUGGUGUUGCACAUACAGCCUUUUUUGUUUGUUUGUUUUCACUGUUUUCUUUCACAAAUAGCCACAAGUAGAAAUGUGUUUGCAAACGUACUUGGAGAUUGUUUAUACAAUGGACCCACGUCAAUACUAUGAUACACUAUUGGCAAGCUUUCCAAUCAUUCAUUCAUAAUUCAUUCCUUAAACAUCUAUCGAGAGCCUAGUCUGUGCUAGGAAUCUAGCUGCAUACUGGAGAUAUACUACUCGUGGCAAUAUCCCUGCCUGACCAAGGAAACCACUGAUCACAAGGCACAGACAGGCUCUUAUUGGCAGGGUUAGAAGAAGUUUCCUUAAGGAAGUGACCCCUGAGACGUAGCAAAAAAGGUGAAUACAAGGAUUCAGAAGAAGAACAGACAAGGAAAACCUUCCUAAGCAGAAACCCAGUGUGUGCCAAGUCUUCAGAAAGAGAAAGUCUGGACUCUCUGGGAAGAUUCCAGCUUUGCUAUAACUGGGAAUGAGGGUUUAAAGAACCAGAAUGGGGAGAGAAGAGGGUUGUGCUGUGUUAAUAAAUUCAUAUUUUUUUAAUAAAAGCAUGAUCUUUUUUACACUGUCAAAGAGUUAAUAGAAGUAGAGUAACAAGAUCCCCAAAAGAGGCAGUGAGACCAGCAGAAGAGCUACGACGGUAUGAAAGAUGGACGGUAAUGACAGAAGCCAGACUGCAAUGGUGAAAACAGGGAGGAAGAGGUAGCGUUGAGUGGCAUGUAGGACAUACAAUUAUCAGGAACUGGAGACGUACCUGACUUGGGAUGUGAAAGAAGUGGAGGCGUCAGCGAUGAUGGGUCCAUCCCGAGGCUGGGUGACUGGAUGGCGCCAUGAACCAAGGUGGCCAGUGCAGGGAAAGGGGACAUCAGAUGUGGGUGGUGAAGAAUGGCAGGGUCUCAUGUGGGUGUGGGAUGGCGGGGUGAAGGUGAAGGAUGCAGGUGAGGGGUGUGGUUUUCGGCAGGCAGGUCCAGGUCAGCUUCCUAUAGGACAUCCACUCGAAACCGAAAUUAGGGGGAAGAUGUUUCCGUUUUGGAACUAGGAGGGUGGGAGACUGAGGAGGGGCUGUGAGAUCAUUUAUUACGAUUAUGAAGAGUGAGAAAAGAAAGAAGUCAGGAUGAAAGUGUUGGGAACUGCAACAGUAAAGGGGAAGGAAGAGGCGUUCUCAAAGGGGACUUGGAAGAGAAGUCAGAAAAGCAAAAGGAAGACCAAGAAAGAGAGGCUUCAAAGGGCAAAAGCAUCUGAAAAGGAGAGGAAGUCAUUACGGUCAGUCCUGCUGUGGGUUCACGUGCAACGAGGAAUGAAACCCAGGGACAUUUGACAGCCCAGGGGUCGCUAGUGAUCUGGCGACAGAUUCAUGGAGAUGCUGCUACGUAAGCAUCAUGAGGAGGCUGAGACACUGAAAGAUCACAACAUCUGAAAAAUGAAUCAGAUGCUCUGGGCCACAGGCAGGUGAGACAGGUGGGACAGGAGGAACAUGUCGCUGAGAUGGGGGCUCCCCAAGACCUGUCGAUAGGCUGAAGUGGACCAGUCCGGAGAGGGGCGAGGGUGGAGAUGCCUGCAGAGCGGGGACAGUUGUUGGCUUUGGCCCCUGAGAAGGAAGGAGGCUUGUGCAUCAACAACACAAACCAGAGGUCAGACUGCAGCCCUGAGCACGAGGAAAGAAUGAUGCGAGCAGGUGCCAGUAAGUGUGGGAUCGGUGGAGGCUGGGGGAGAAGAGAGGCAAGAUUUGGAAGUUCUUACUAAUUCUUUCAUUUUCUUUGUGAAACUUUCUGAGCCAGAUGUCAGGUAGAGUUUAAGAGUGAGGCAUCAACAGAUGAAUGGAUAAAAAGAUGUCCUAUUUUUAUACCAUCAAAUAUUACUCAUAAAAGAGAGCAAAAUUCUGCCAUUUGCAGCAAUGUGGACAGACCUAGGGAAUAUUAGGCUUAGUGAAAUUAGUCAGAUAAAGACAAAUCUGUGUGACAUCACUUACAUGUGGAAUCUAAAAAAAUAACACAAAUGAAGGUAUAUGCAAAACAGAAACAGACUCACAGAUACAGAAAACAAACUGGCAUUUACUAAAAGAGAGAAGGAAGGAGGAAGAGCAAAUUAGGGUAAUGGGGUUAAGAGAUGCAAACCACUGUGGAUAAAACCGAUAAGCAAAAAGGAAACCACAAGGAAUUAUAGCCAUUAUCUUGUCAUGAUUUUUACUUGGGUAUAGUCUAUAAAGACAUUGAGUCGCAAGGCUAUGCUCCUGACACUAAUAAAAUAUUGCGAAUCAACUAUAUUUCAAUAAAAAGAGUGAGGAAUUAUAGGUUAGGGACACAAUUUGGGAACCAUUUUAAUGGAAGGUCAUAGAGAGUGGCCCCAGUGGGACAAGUGCAGUGAGGACACCGGUUGGAGAUCAUGAAUUUUUAGGGCUUCUAAUCUGAAAGGAUAUACAUGACACUCUCUAAUGGGACUCACAGGUCUGGGACUAAGGGGACACUACCUGAGAGAUUGGGUUGCUCCAAGCAGGGUUUCUUGUUGGGAGAUGCGGAAAAGCCCUGAAGGACUGAGAGUUGACAUCGCGGCAGGAGAGCAGUCAACAGGGCGAAAC